GACGAAGGGGGCUAGCGUUGUUCGGAAUUACUGGGCGUAAAGCGCGUGUAGGCGGUUGCCCAAGUCGGGUGUGAAACCUCCAGGCUCAACCUGGAGACGCCACUCGAUACUGCUGUGACUAGAGUUCGGUAGGGGAUCACGGAAUUCCUGGUGUAGCGGUGAAAUGCGCAGAUAUCAGGAGGAACACCGAUGGCGAAGGCAGGUCUCUGGGCCAUAACUGACGCUGAGAAGCGAAAGCAUGGGGAGCGAACAGG
rnacentral:rRNA from 1 species